rnacentral:rRNA from 1 species
UUCCGGUUGAUCCUGCCGGACCUGACUGCUAUCGGAUUGAUACUAAGCCAUGCGAGUCAUUGUAGCAAUACAAGGCAGACGGCUCAGUAACACGUAGUCAAUCUAACCUAUGGACGAGGAUAACCUCGGGAAACUGAGAAUAAUACUCGAUAGACCAUAAUGCCUGGAACGGUUUAUGGUUCAAAUGAAUUUCGCCAUAGGGUGGGACUGCGGUCUAUCAGCUUGUUGGUGAGGUAAUGGCCCACCAAGGCUAUAACAGAUACGGGCUCUGAGAGGAGAAGCCCGGAGAUGGGUACUGAGACACGGACCCAGGCCCUAUGGGGCGCAGCAGGCGAGAAAACUUUGCAAUGUGCGAAAGCACGACAAGGUUAAUCCGAGUGAUUCCUGCUAAAGGAAUCUUUUGUUAGUUGUAACACCACUGAUGAAUAAGGGGUGGGCAAGUUCUGGUGUCAGCCGCCGCGGUAAAACCAGCACCUCAAGUGGUCAGGAGGAUUAUUGGGCCUAAAGCAUCCGUAGCCGGCUCUGUAAGUUUUCGGUUAAAUCUAUAUGCUCAACAUAUGGGCUGCCGGGAAUACUGCAGAGCUAGGAAGUGGGAGAGGUAGACGGUACUCCGUAGGAAGGGGUAAAAUCCUUUGAUCUAUGGAUGACCACCUGUGGCGAAGGCGGUCUACCAGAACACGUUCGACGGUGAGGGAUGAAAGCUGGGGGAGCAAACCGGAUUAGAUACCCGGGUAGUCCCAGCUGUAAACUAUGCAAACUCAGUGAUGCAUUGGCUUGUGGCCAGUGCAGUGCCGCAGGGAAGCCGUUAAGUUUGCCGCCUGGGAAGUACGUACGCAAGUAUGAAACUUAAAGGAAUUGGCCGGGGGGAGCAUCACAAGGGUGAAGCCUGCGGUUCAUUGGAUUCAACGCCGGA